rnacentral:lncRNA from 10 species
UCCGGAGAGAUGAGGGAAUUAUUGCAGCUGCUUAUACCCUGGGAGUAUAUGUUGAUUCUGGGACAGAGGGCAUGGUGGUAGUGGUGGUUGGAGAAGCUGAGAAUCCAAGACUUCCACCUGUGGAGGCAAGUUCAGGAGAACAGAGAAACUAGCAGAUUUUUUGGUGGAGACUUGGUGGUGGGAAGGGAUGGGAAUCAAGUCAAUUUUCCCCCAAACACAUUUGCCAAAUAUUAGGGCAAGCAAGGGAUAGGAGGAGGCAGGAGAGUGGAAAGAGGAAAGCCUGACUGGUUUGGAAAGGGAGAACAGGUCUGGAAGCUAUAGUAUCUCUAUCGCUCUACAUAAAAGUUAACUUAUCUUCAAGAGUCUGACAUGAUCUUUACUUGUUUUACUUCUGGGCUGGCUGAGCAGUUGUCUCAUAGUGAGACAUCUGGCUUGUGAUCCAGUCUGAGGAACAUGUAUCCUCUGUGGAGGAGGUAGCUAAUGCCAAAAUAUGCAGAGGCCCUUUGGCAAUCACAGAAGGAAAUCUUGCUUCUGCUGCUUCCUUGUGGCUAAGCUUUGGCAACAGUGCAGGUCAGAUGAAGGAAGAGCAGUAAAGCAGAAGUCAGGCAGUCAGAUGACUGCUACUGUUUCUCUGUGGGCUCGUUCAGGGACAUUCAGAGUGGGGGGAAAGGAAUAAGUUCCUGAAAUAGCUUAUUUUUUAAUUCCCCAAAGAAACAUGAAUUUAGGACCUUCUGGGCCUUGGAGCAUCACAGUGGCAUCAGACAACAGUUCUGAGGAAUGCUUAGGCUAGGUAGGAGUUACUCAUCUAGGUAUUUUACUCUUCUGCAUUAAGCUUCUGCUCCAGUAGGUAACUGCAUAUGCCAUAGUGUAUGAUGAUCUGUUACACAA